rnacentral:rRNA from 1 species
CUGGCUCAGGACGAACGCUGGCGGCGUGCCUAACACAUGCAAGUCGAACGGAGAACUCAAUAAGCUUGCUUAAAGAGUUCUUAGUGGCGGACGGGUGAGUAACGCGUGGAUAACCUACCUAGUAGACCGGGACAACCCUUGGAAACGAGGGCUAAUACCGGAUAAGCUUACGCCUU